ACCUCAAAUCCCAAUCCCUGCCCCCUCUCCUCCCCUCCCCUUCUUCUCUGACUCAAAGAACAGCAACUCCCACAUGCAACACAGCUUGGCUCCACAAGGCACAGGGCCACUGAAAACCAUUUGCAAUUGAGUAUGAUGAGCCAUAUCAGGACUGUGGAAGGUGACAUAUCCCACGGGAAAGACAUUCACAGAAAAACUAAAGACAGAAAAUUCUCUCUUUCUGGAACAAGUUUUGGAGAAUCUGAUUACACCUCCUGCCGCGCGCGGAGCGAGGUACUGCGCUUUGCGGAGGGCCGCUGCUAUGAUUAACGCCAUUUGUCUGAAUCAUUAUUCUGCACCUUGGUUCAGCAAACACUAUGAGGAUGGCACAGUAAUAAAUGACCGCAGGAUUCUU